rnacentral:rRNA from 1 species
ACACGUAGGGGGCGAGCGUUGUUCGGAAUCAUUGGGCGUAAAGGGCGUGCAGGCGGUCGUGCAAGUCCGGCGUGAAAGACCCCGGCCCAACCGGGGGGACGCGCUGGAAACUGCAGGGCUUGAGUACAGGAGGGGAUGCCGGAAUUCCAGGUGUAGGGGUGAAAUCUGUAGAUAUCUGGAAGAACACCAAUGGCGAAGGCAGGCAUCUGGCCAUGUACUGACGCUGAGACGCGAAGGGGCGGGGAGCAAACAGGUUUAGAUACCCUGGUAGUCCGCGCAGUAAACGAUGCGCACCAGGUGUCGGGCGGCAGCGCCCGGUACCGUAGCUAACGCGAUGAGUGCGCCGCCUGGGGAGUAUGCCCGCAAGGGUGAAACUCAAAUGAAUUGACGGGG